rnacentral:rRNA from 1 species
GACGAACGCUGGCGGCGUGCUUAACACAUGCAAGUCGAACGGAAAGGCCCUGCUUUUGUGGGGUGCUCGAGUGGCGAACGGGUGAGUAACACGUGAGUAACCUGCCCUUGACUUUGGGAUAACUUCAGGAAACUGGGGCUAAUACCGGAUAGGAGCUCCUGCUGCAUGGUGGGGGUUGGAAAGUUUCGGCGGUUGGGUAUGGACUCGCGGCUUAUCAGCUUGUUGGUGGGGUAGUGGCUUACCAAGGCUUUGACGGGUAGCCGGCCUGAGAGGGUGACCGGCCACAUUGGGACUGAGAUACGGCCCAGACUCCUACGGGAGGCAGCAGUGGGGAAUAUUGCACAAUGGGCGGAAGCCUGAUGCAGCAACGCCGCGUGCGGGAUGACGGCCUUCGGGUUGUAAACCGCUUUCGCCUGUGACGAAGCGUGAGUGACGGUAAUGGGUAAAGAAGCACCGGCUAACUACGUGCCAGCAGCCGCGGUGAUACGUAGGGUGCGAGCGUUGUCCGGAUUUAUUGGGCGUAAAGGGCUCGUAGGUGGUUGAUCGCGUCGGAAGUGUAAUCUUGGGGCUUAACCCUGAGCGUGCUUUCGAUACGGGUUGACUUGAGGAAGGUAGGGGAGAAUGGAAUUCCUGGUGGAGCGGUGGAAUGCGCAGAUAUCAGGAGGAACACCAGUGGCGAAGGCGGUUCUCUGGGCCUUUCCUGACGCUGAGGAGCGAAAGCGUGGGGAGCGAACAGGCUUAGAUACCCUGGUAGUCCACGCUGUAAACGGUGGGUACUAGGUGUGGGGUCCAUUCCACGGGUUCCGUGCCGUAGCUAACGCUUUAAGUACCCCGCCUGGGGAGUACGGCCGCAAGGCUAAAACUCAAAGGAAUUGACGGGGCCCCGCACAAGCGGCGGAGCAUGCGGAUUAAUUCGAUGCAACGCGUAGAACCUUACCUGGGUUUGACAUGGAUCGGGAGUGCUCAGAGAUGGGUGUGCCUCUUUUGGGGUCGGUUCACAGGUGGUGCAUGGCUGUCGUCAGCUCGUGUCGUGAGAUGUUGGGUUAAGUCCCGCAACGAGCGCAACCCUUGUUCACUGUUGCCAGCACGUUAUGGUGGGGACUCAGUGGAGACCGCCGGGGUCAACUCGGAGGAAGGUGGGGAUGACGUCAAGUCAUCAUGCCCCUUAUGUCCAGGGCUUCACGCAUGCUACAAUGGCUGGUACAGAGAGUGGCGAGCCUGUGAGGGUGAGCGAAUCUCGGAAAGCCGGUCUCAGUUCGGAUUGGGGUCUGCAACUCGACCUCAUGAAGUCGGAGUCGCUAGUAAUCGCAGAUCAGCAACGCUGCGGUGAAUACGUUCCCGGGGCU